rnacentral:rRNA from 1 species
GAUGAACGCUGGCGGCGUGCCUAAUACAUGCAAGUCGAGCGAACAGACGAGGAGCUUGCUCCUCUGACGUUAGCGGCGGACGGGUGAGUAACACGUGGAUAACCUACCUAUAAGACUGGGAUAACUUCGGGAAACCGGAGCUAAUACCGGAUAACAUGUUGAACCGCAUGGUUCAACAGUGAAAGACGGUCUUGCUGUCACUUAUAGAUGGAUCCGCGCCGCAUUAGCUAGUUGGUAAGGUAACGGCUUACCAAGGCAACGAUGCGUAGCCGACCUGAGAGGGUGAUCGGCCACACUGGAACUGAGACACGGUCCAGACUCCUACGGGAGGCAGCAGUAGGGAAUCUUCCGCAAUGGGCGAAAGCCUGACGGAGCAACGCCGCGUGAGUGAUGAAGGUCUUCGGAUCGUAAAACUCUGUUAUUGGGGAAGAACAAAUGUGUAAGUAACUAUGCACGUCUUGACGGUACCUAAUCAGAAAGCCACGGCUAACUACGUG